UCCUGGUUAGCUCAGCCGGUAGAGCGUUGGACUUUUAAUCCAAAGGCCAAGGUUUCAAGUCCCUUAUCGGGCU
rnacentral:tRNA from 1 species